GGGGGCCCGCAAGCGGUGGAGCAUGUGGUUUAAUUCGAUGCAACGCGAAGAACCUUACCUGGCCUUGACAUCCACGGAAUUUGGCAGAGAUGCCUUAGUGCCUUCGGGAACCGUGAGACAGGUGCUGCAUGGCUGUCGUCAGCUCGUGUUGUGAAAUGUUGGGUUAAGUCCCGCAACGAGCGCAACCCUUAUCCUUUGUUGCCAGCACGUAAUGGUGGGAACUCAAAGGAGACUGCCGGUGAUAAACCGGAGGAAGGUGGGGAUGACGUCAAGUCAUCAUGGCCCUUACGGCCAGGGCUACACACGUGCUACAAUGGCGCAUACAAAGAGAAGCGACCUCGCGAGAGCAAGCGGACCUCAUAAAGUGCGUCGUAGUCCGGAUCGGAGUCUGCAACUCGACUCCGUGAAGUCGGAAUCGCUAGUAAUCGUAGAUCAGAAUGCUACGGUGAAUACGUUCCCGGGCCUUGUACACACC
rnacentral:rRNA from 1 species